rnacentral:rRNA from 1 species
CCUACGGGGGGCAGCAGUAGGGAAUAUUGCUCAAUGGGGGAAACCCUGAAGCAGCAACGCCGCGUGGAGGAUGAAGGUUUUCGGAUUGUAAACUUCUUUUGUUAGAGAAGAUAAUGACGGUAUCUAACGAAUAAGCACCGGCUAACUCCGUGCCAGCAGCCGCGGUAAUACGGAGGGUGCAAGCGUUACUCGGAAUCACUGGGCGUAAAGAGCGCGUAGGCGGGAUAGCAAGUCAGAUGUGAAAGCCUAUGGCUUAACCAGAGAACUGCAUUUGAAACUGUGAUUCUAGAGUAUGGGAGAGGUAGGUGGAAUUCUUGGUGUAGGGGUAAAAUGCGUAGAGAUCAGGAGGAAUACUCAUUGCGAAGGCGACCUGCUAGAACAUAACUGACGCUGAGGCGCGAAAGCGUGGGGAGCAAACAGGAUUAGAUACCCUUGUAGUC